rnacentral:misc_RNA from 1 species
GAUGAAGAACGUAGCGAAAUGCGAUAAGUAAUGUGAAUUGCAGAAUUCAGUGAAUCAUCGAAUCUUUGAACGCACAUUGCGCCCGCCAGUAUUCUGGCGGGCAUGCCUGUUCGAGCGUCAUUUCAACCAUCAAGCCCCAGGCUUGUGUUGGGGUCCUGCGGCUGCCGCAGGCCCUGAAAAACAGUGGCGGGCUCGCUGUCACACCGAGCGUAGUAAUACAUCUCGCUUUGGACGUGCGGCGGGUUCUUGCCGUUAAACACCCCCCUUCUCAAGGUUGACCUCGGAUCAGGUAGGAAUACCCGCUGAACUUAAGCAUAUCAAUAGCGGAGGA